rnacentral:rRNA from 1 species
GUAGCGAACAGGAUUAGAUAACCUGGUAGUCCAUGCCGUAAACGUUGAGUGCUAGGUGUUAGUGGGGUCCAACCGUUAGUGCUGCAGUUAACGCAAUAAGCACUCCGCCUGGGGAGUACGGCCGCAAGGUUGAAACUCAAAGGAAUUGACGGGGGCCUGCACAAGCGGUGGAGCAUGUGGUUUAAUUCGACGCAACGCGAAGAACCUUACCAGGUCUUGACAUCUUCGGACAGCCCAAGAGAUUGGGUCUUCCCUUCGGGGACCGAAUGACAGGUGGUGCAUGGUUGUCGUCAGCUCGUGUCGUGAGAUGUUGGGUUAAGUCCCGUAACGAGCGCAACCCCUGAUCUUAGUUGCCAGCAUUGAGUUGGGCACUCUAGGAUGACUGCCGGUGACAAACCGGAGGAAGGCGGGGAUGACGUCAAAUCAUCAUGCCCCUUAUGACCUGGGCUACACACGUGCUACAAUGGAUGGUACAAAGGGAAGCCAAACCGCGAGGUCGAGCUAAUCCCAUAAAGCCAUUCUCAGUUCGGAUUGUAGGCUGCAACUCGCCUGCAUGAAGCCGGAAUCGCUAGUAAUCGCGGAUCAGAAUGCCGCGGUGAAUACGUUCCCAGGCCUUGUACACACCGCCCGUCCACACACGACGGAGAGUUGGCGAACCCCCAGGAAGUCCCGGUCGGUU